UACGAAGGGUGCGAGCGUUGUUCGGAAUUACUGGGCGUAAAGCGCACGUAGGCGGCGCGUCAAGUCAGGGGUGAAAGGCCUGGGCUCAACCUGGGAACUGCCUUUGAUACUGGCGUGCUGGAGUACGGGAGAGGGUGACAGAAUUCCCAGUGUAGAGGUGAAAUUCGUAGAUAUUGGGAAGAACACCGGUGGCGAAGGCGGUCACCUGGCCCGGAACUGACGCUGAGGUGCGAAAGCGUGGGGAGCAAACAGG
rnacentral:misc_RNA from 1 species